AUGCGGACAAGCAGGAGCCACCGCGCCCUCCAGCUCGCCCUCACCUGGAGGAGUCUGGCAGCUCUGGCCACAGGGUCUCCAGCCACCCCGCUCUUUCCGGGAGUCCCCAGCAGCAGCCUCCCUGCCCUGGAGCUCUCCCCAACUGCACAGGCCAGGGCCAGGGUCCGGCACAGUGAGACGCGGCCCCAUCCACAAGGCACUGGUUCUCAGUGGGCCGCAGAGGCAGCAGAGUCUUUGUCAGAUGCUUUGGACUCAGAGGAGCAGCUUCAGACCAGGCUGCAGCAGGAGCGGGGCUGGACUGGGGUCCCUGCCACACCGGGCACCAGGGUCCACGCCAGUUGGCUGGGAGGAAGGGACUGGAGGAGCGAGAACAGCCAGAAAGUGAGGAAGGCAGCGGAGGGCGAAGGCCUUGAGAGCCGAUGCAGGUGGUGGACCAGAGGCACCCCAGUGGGAGAGGAAGCACUCGGAGGGGACAGCAGAGGGUGCUUCCACGGAGCAGUAGGGAGGCGCCUGGCUCCCCACCACUGGCAGCCUCUCCGAGCCGGGAUCAACUGGCCAGGGUUCCCAGAGGACCCAGAUGUGGGAGGUCCAUGGGGGAGCCAUGGAGAAGGGAGCUAGAGCUGAGCUCGAACCCGUCCUGGGGCAGAGCGUGGACCUGGCUGGUCCUGCCAACAGCAUCACCCAGACACACUGGCUGGCCCUGCAGUGCCGCGUUUUCACGACAGGGUGUGUGCUUGUGCUAAGAUGUCAUGCAUUUCCAGGAAGAGGGGACCGUGUGCCUGGGCACCCUUUCUUCGGAACAGGUCAUCCUACCCUAGAAACAGCGGGCACUCGCACCUGUGACUCGGGACUCGCCUGCUCUGGGCCAGUUUCUCUCUCCUCCCAGGCUGCCCUCCACGACCUGCCACCUUGCCCUUGGCCUGGCCCCUUGGGCUUCCGUGCCAGCACCACCCUUACUUCUCUCUGCCCAGCUCUGCCCAGGUUCCAGGCACACCCUGUGGCCUCCCAGCCUCGGGGGAGGAGAGUCACACCCAGCAGGCUCAGAGGGUGACAUCUGCACCCCGCCUGGCACACGAGGCAGACACUGAGGUGCAGCAGCGACGUCUUAGUCUGCUCUGCUCUGCAGAGUCCUACAGGCCCCUGGGGAAAGAGCCUGGAAUCGAAGCCGGAAGACAGGUGGUGCCAGUCCUGGCCCGGCAACCCCUGGCUUCGGGACUCCAGUGUCCAGUGUGCUGGGAUCAGAGGAGUGGAUCAGAUGCCAAGUCCCCACACCCCCAGCACACAGGCUCUGGGUACAGGUCCGUCCGCAGCAAGACGGGGGUGUGUGGUCUAACCGCACCAGUAAUGAUGCUAAAAGUGCUCUUCUGGCUGGGCAUGGUGCCUCACACCUGUGGUCCCAGCACUCAGGAAGCUGAGGCAGGAGGAUCGCCAUGAGUUCCAGGCCAGCCUGGGUUACAUAACGAGUUCAAGGCUAACGUGGACUACAUAGUGAGACCCUGUCUCAAACCCCCCCAAAAAAAAGAAAGAGAGAAAGAAAAAGUGCUUUUCCAUUCACUGCACCGAUGGCAGCCAGGGCAGCCCCGGAGGGGCCCGCAGCCGGCUCAGCAUCUGCGGGUUGCCGAUGGGAAGGGCCACGGAGUGCGGAAGUGGUCGCUGUACAAACUGCUCUGGAAUAAACCCUAUGGUUAAACUAGUUUUGCCAGUUAUUUAGCUUCGUUGAGCUUUAGUGUCCCCAGCGUGACCUGAGGUCAAUAAAGUGACACCCGCUCCUUGGCGUGUGCACCCUGGUGGCGGCUGUGGGGGACCAAGGCUGGAGCCUGGGAGCCUCAGCCGGCUGCAGGGAUCUGAGGGCACAGGUGCAACAGAGGGUGCAGGGCCCGGGACACGGCUCUGCAGCCCGAGGGUCUCCUGGAAGCGCCUGUGGGCCGCUUCCCGCCUGUGUGUGCCUUGGGUGUCCCCUGCUGACCUUUGCGUCAGAGCCUAGCCUCGCCUCCAUCCCUCUGUUCUGCGGGCUGGUCCGGCCCGCUGGGCCUGGGCCUCCUUGUAAGUGAAGUCCUCGCGCUGAGCCCAGAGAUGGGAUUACACUGCCUGUCCCACCAUUUCCAAGCGUGGGCGCCGUCAAUCCCGCCAUCUGACUGACGGAUGCACCACCCCCCGCUGGGCCUGGGCCUCCUUGUAAGUGAAGUCCUCGCGCUGAGCCCAGAGAUGGGAUUACACUGCCUGUCCCACCAUUUCCAAGCGUGGGCGCCGUCAAUCCCGCCAUCUGACUGACGGAUGCACCACCGCUUCAGAUUGCAUCUCCUUGAACACUAAAGGCAUCACU
rnacentral:lncRNA from 1 species